rnacentral:lncRNA from 1 species
UACAUGCACAUAGUAUAAAAUUUUAUUUUAUCUGAUAACUGUUAUAAAAAAAAAGUCUCUAAAAUAUUAGACACAUUUUUAACAUAUUACAAUUCUUUACAAUGUAAACACCAUCUAAGCCUCUAAAGGGACUUUGAAUCCAAAAAUAAAAAAUGUUUGUUUUAGUAUAUGACUAAUAUGUCUAACUAACAUUCUUGUGCAGGGUUACGUGUAACAAUAGACUGCAAGGCCUCAAAUGGACAUAUCCAAACAAGAGGGGCCGGUGAGCUUGAUAAAAAUGGAAAUUUCAAAGUAUCACUUCCUAAAGACAUAGUAAAAGAAGGUGAAUUGAAAGAAGAAUGUUAUGCUCAGUUACAUAGUGCAUCAGCUGCACCAUGUCCUACUCAUGAUGGCAUUCAAAACACCAAAAUUGUCAUCAAGUCAAAAUUUGAUGACAAACAUACCCUCAGUACUGCUAAUGCUGGCAAACUCAAAUUCUCAUCAGCUACAUGUACCUCAGCAUUUUUUUGGAAACACCCUCUUUUUCCUAAGCUUCCUCAUCCUCAAUUACCUGACUUCCCACCAUUUCCACCAAAAGUUUUCCACAAACAUCCUCUUUUCCCUCAUAUUCCUAUCUACAAGAAACCUCUCCCUCCUCCUGUGCCUGUCUAUGUAAAACCUCUUCCCCCUCCUGUGCCUAUCUAUAAGCCUCCUGUAUAUGUAAAACCUCUCCCUCCUCCAGUGCCUAUCUAUAAGCCACCUGUUUACGUGAAACCUCACCCUCCUCUUGUGCCUGUUUAUAAACCACCUGUAUACGUGAAACCUCACCCUCCUCCUGUGCCUGUCUAUAAACCACCUGUAUAUGUGAAACCUCACCCUCCUCCUGUGCCUGUCUAUAAGCCUCCUAUUAUUCCAGUUACUAAACCGCUUCCACCACCGGUUCCGUUCAAGAAACCAUGUCCACCAAAGAUUGAGCAUCCAAUUCUACCACCUGUUCCAAUAUAUAAACCUCCAAUAGUUCCAAAGCCACCGGUGGUUCCGAUCGUCAAGCCACUUCCUCCUCCAGUUCCAAUUUACAAACCACCAGUUGUCACUAAACCUUUUCCUCCAUUCAAGAAACCACCAUGUCCACCAAAGAUUGAGCAUCCAAUUCUACCACCUGUUCCAAUAUAUAAACCUCCAGUAGUUCCAAAACCACCGGUGGUUCCGAUCGUCAAGCCACUUCCUCCUCCAGUUCCAAUUUACAAACCACCAGUUGUCACUAAACCCUUUCCUCCAUUCAAGAAACCACCAUGUCCACCUCUUCCCAAGCUCCCUCCAAAGCCAUUUUUCCAUCACCCCAAGUUUGGAAAAUGGCCUCCAAAGCCUUUUUUCCAUCACCCCAAGUUUGGAAAAUGGC